rnacentral:tRNA from 1 species
AUUUAUGUAGCUUAUAAAUAAAGCAAAACAUUGAAGCUGUUUAGAAAGUUAUUUAACUCAUAAAUG